GGCGAAUAUAAAGCGACUGAGGUGCAGUCGAUGGGGUUAAAAGAGAUCCUUGGCUUUAAUAGGAAAUUCUUAGGCCUUCAACCUAAUGAAUAUUAAUCGUAGCCUGACUGACUGAGUGAAUGCCCAGUGUUCGCCACUCGCACCUGUGUCUAUAUAUCAAGCAACAAAGCCACUUGUCUUAUCAGCCGGCGCGACUUUUCAGCAUGAGAGGUCCACUGGCGACUGUCGGUUGGCAGCAAGUUUCCAUGUUUUUUUGCGGUUUUGCCACUUGAGACGCUGAACAUGGCGGAUUAAUGUCAUUUAUCACGCUCUUGCUUAGCGGGGAAGGGGAUUUUGGAUUUCGAAUGGGCCUUUGGUUGGCAUUGGUAUUGGCAUUAGCAGGCAUUUGAAAUGUACAAAAUAAAUAAGGGACUCGCUGAAUCGCAAGCCUACACACUCGGUUACAGUUUAAGCCGUCGAUGUUGCUGGCUUUGUUCGCUCGGUUUUGCUUUGUUGCCGCAAAAAGGAUAAUGACAAAUAAUCAAGGAUAAACGCUUUUGAUUGAUCUUUAAUGGCAGCUCGUUGCCUCCGUUUCCCAGUUGCCUUUGACAUCCGCAGGCGAAUGUAAAUCAUAUUAACUUAAAUGUACCAUAAAACAAACCAACGAGCCCAUGCGGAUUGGGUUGGCUUGCGACGAGAAACUGGGGUGGAGUGCGUGCCCAGGACACUUAUCCUUCGGGCCACACACACGGGCUUAUGAGCUUGCCACAUUCUUUUGCAAUUGUACUGUGUAGCGUAAAAUGCUUUUCAAUAUAUCAAAGGGAGAGGGCAAAUAAAUAACAAGCUGAGACGAACCAGCUAAUGAAGGAGUCGACUGGGAAAUGCCCUUG